AGGGUUUGAUCAUGGCUCAGGACGAACGCUGGCGGUGCGCCUUAUGCAUGCAAGUCGAGCGAAGCUUUUCAGUAGUUUACUACAGAAAAUGACUGAGCGGCGAACGGGUGAGUAACGCGUGAGCAAUCUACCUUAGUUACAGGGAUAGCCCGAGGAAACUCGGAUUAAUACCUGAUAUUCUUUAUUUCUCGCAUGAGAAUAAAAGGAAAGGUCAGCCGAACUAAGAUGAGCUCGCGUUCUAUCAGCUUGUUGGUGAGGUAAAAGCUUACCAAGGCUACGACGGAUAGCUGGUCUGAGAGGACGAUCAGCCACACUGGGACUGAGACACGGCCCAGACUCCUACGGGAGGCUGCAGCAGGGAAUAUUGUGCAAUGAACGAAAGUUUGACACAGCGACACCGCGUGUGGGAUGACGGAUCUAGGUUUGUAAACCACUUUCAGGAGGGAAGAAAAUGACGGUACCUCCACAAGAAGCCCCGGCCAGCUACGUGCCAGCAGCCGCGGUAAUA
rnacentral:rRNA from 1 species